CGCCGAUUCUAUCUCACAAAAGCUGCUGUUUUGGUUCGUGGUGUGGGUUGAUAGUCGAAUCAUCUCCUGGACAUAAAAAAGAUAUAGAAUGACUAAAAGAGGCCGGCCGUACAAAAGCCAACCGGAACCCAGUGAAGCAUCUAAGCAGCGUCGGGUUGAGUUUGCUCAAGAGCGGUUGGAUUGAUUGCAAGAGUAAUCAUUAGAAACGCUAUUGACGUUAA